AGUAGCAACCUCAUCUACAAAAAUCUCCAACACUAUAGCUUUAUCGUCAACAAGCAGCGAAAAACACUUCCUCUCAUUUCUCUCACUCUCUCAAAACUGUAAGAACAGAAAACUUCUUUGCUCGCGUACUCAAUAGGUUUCGAUUUUCUCAAUCUUCUAUGAACCAAAAGGACUAAAAGCUUAACUUCCAUUACUCAAUGAUGGCGGUUAGAGCCGUUAACAGCUGCUCCAUCUUUCGCUCCGCUUCGCCUCCUCCUUUCUCCGCGGCGGUUCGGUGCCGAUUGUACCAUUACAGGAACUUGCAGUUUCGCCGAUGCUCCAAAUUAGGGUUUCGGUUCCAUGCAUUCCGGUCCGAGAAGAAGCUUUUCGGCCAUGGCGGUGUUCGGAGCUGUUCGGUUCACAGUCUCGUCGAUAGCGUCAUGGAAGAGCUCGAAUUCAUGCGCAAAAGGAAGAGAGUUUACGCUGCCUCCAAAAUGGGAUUAACAAGCAGUGGAGAGCUUCUUGAAGAUAAGCUUUCGAACCGAGUGCUAGAGAAAGGGUUGCUGUUGGAGUUCAAGAAGGAUUCUGAUAGGGUCUUAUUGGCAGUUGCUCAGAAACCAGACGGCAAAAAGAACUGGAUGGUGUCCGAUCAGAAUGGUGUCACAUCCUCCAUUAAACCUCAACAAAUUACAUAUAUUGUUCCGGGCAUUGAGAAUUUUGAUCAUACUGGGAUUUCAGAUUUUAUUCAGAAAGCACAGGAUAACUUGGAUCCAGCACUUCUGGAGUUUGCUUGGGUUGAACUUCUUGAAAACAAUAAGUCAGUGACAACAGAAGAAUUAGCAGAGAUGAUUUUUGGUAGUGCAGAGCCCCUUGAAAGCUAUUGUGCCCACCUUUUGCUAUCAAAAGAUGAAACGUAUUUCAGUGUGCUGGAGACAAAAGGUUCACGUUCUAUAUAUGGACCUCGACCUACUGUGCAGGUACAAGAACUUUUACGCUGGAAGCUUGCAAAGGAGGCGGCUGAGCAAGAACUUCAGGAGUUUGUACAAUUACUGAAAUCUGCUAAGAACAUGCCUUCAAAAUCUAAACCCCCCAAAUCAACUUGGUUGGCUGAAGAGAAAACUAGACACAAAAUUGAAUCUCUUGAAUCUUAUGCCAUUGAUGCCUGCAAAAAUGAUGACCAAAAGAAGACAGCUGGGAUGAUCCUUAAGGCAAUGGGACUGGUGAAAACAGCAUCAUCAGCUGUAAAUCUCCUCAUAGAUAUCGGUUAUUUUCCCGUACAUGUCAAUCUUGAGCUCUUAAAGUUAAAUAUUCCUACUGAUCAUUCAGAUGAGAUAUUAACGGCCGCUGAAAGUCUUUUGUCUGAGUCAUCUGAUCCAGAUGAGAUUUACAGAAAAGAUCUCACUCAUUUGAAGGUUUAUGCCAUUGAUGUUGAUGAGGCUGACGAGCUUGAUGAUGCCCUGAGUGCAACAAGGUUGCAAGAUGGCCGGAUUAAAGUUUGGAUACAUGUUGCAGAUGCAGCUAGAUUUGUACAACCUGGGAGCAUGGUAGACAGGGAGGCAAUGAGAAGAGGAACUUCUAUAUUCUUGCCAACUGCCACUUAUCCUAUGUUUCCAGAGAACCUUGCCAUGGAAGGAAUGAGUUUGAAACAAGGAGAGAUCUGCAAUGCUGUUACGGCAUCUGUUGUGCUGCGUUCUGAUGGCAGCAUUGCAGAAUUCUCAGUGGAUAACUCAGUCAUCAAACCCACCUAUAUGCUGACAUACGAGAGUGCAUCUGAACUACUUCAUUUGAACCUGGAAGAGGAGAUUGAACUGAAAAUUCUAUCUGAGGCGGCGACUUUACGGUUACAAUGGCGGCAACAACAGGGUGCAGUUGACACAGCCACGUUAGAAGCACGCAUCAAGGUGGCUAACCCAGAGGAUCCAGAGCCUGUUAUUAAUCUUUAUGUUGAAAACCAAGCGGACCCUGCAAUGCGACUGGUCACUGAGAUGAUGCUACUCUGUGGGGAAGUUAUAGCCACAUAUGGUUCUCGCAACAACAUUCCUUUACCCUACAGAGGACAGCCCCAGUCAAAUAUUGAUGUGUCUUUAUUUCAACAUCUUCCAGAAGGACCGAUUAGGAGUUCUGCUAUUGUUAGAUUAAUGCGGGCUGCUGAAAUUGAUUUCAGGAAGCCUAUACGCCAUGGGAUUUUGGGACUCCCUGGUUAUGUUCAGUUUACAUCUCCUAUUCGUAGAUAUAUGGAUCUUCUAGCUCAUUAUCAGGUCAAAGCAUAUCUUAGAGGUGAAUCUCCUCCUUUCUCAGCUGGCCAGCUAGAAGGGAUGGCAUCAAUUUUAAACAUGCAUUCUAGAUUAGCAAAGAGGCUGUUCAGCAGCAGUCUUCGGUAUUGGAUCUUAGAAUACCUAAGGAGUCAACCAAAAGAAAGAAAAUAUCGUGCAUUGAUCCUUAAGUUCAUUAAAGAUCGGACUGCAGCCUUAUUGUUAGUUGAGGUGGGAUUUCAAGCUUCUGCAUGGGUAUCUGUUGGAGCACAGAUUGGAGAUGAAGUAGAAGUUCGGGUGGAUGAAGCUCAUCCACGUGAUGAUUUUAUUUCUCUUAAGGAGGUUAUUUGAGGGCUAGAAAGAGAUUCUUUUGACUGGAUCUUAUCAUCAUAAAAGUAUUUUCUCUGAUAUUGCUGUGAAUGAUUAUCAAGGCAUCAUAGCUUCUGCAAUCUUUGAAAGUGAUCAGAAUCUCGUACCGCAAAACAGAUACAAACAUCACUUUUCAAGAUGAAUGUUUAUGAAAAUCACCACCUGUAGAAGUGACUGCCCAUGUUGCAUUGCAUGACAAACAUACUCUGCUUCAAAUUAUUUUCUGCAGGAAUAGCUUCAAAGCGUGCUCCAAUUCAAAUUGACUAAUGGCAUUUUGAGCUCUGGAGAUUUUGGUCAAUACGUGCGUAAGAUUGGUUGGUCAUUCAUUUUUCAGGGCCAGCAUUUCUGUAUGUUCAUUUUGUUCUUCAAAGUUGUUCCUAUGAGGAGGCAUGACAAACUAAAGUCAUGUAUACCGUUAUAGCUGAUCUAUUUUUGUGUAAGUAAUUUUGUAACAUGUGGUAUAGUUUCCAGUCACACUCUUCCCUUUUAACCAAAAGCAGUGAAAGCAAAGAUCUUUUCAGUCACGAAUUGCAUACAAAUUACAUUGUAGAUGAACAGAUUUGUACUAGUUAGCCAACUGAAUAAUUUUACUAGGGGAAGUUAACAAUGUUGUAUCAUGUAAAAUUGUCAGUCACUUCGAUCGAAGUUUUGCUGGGCCUUCA